UCGUAGUUGGAUCUGUGUCCCGCGCCGUCGGUUCACCGCCUGCCGGUGUUCAACUGGCGUGUAUGCGGGACGUCCUGUCGGUGGUGGUCCGGCUCCCUGCGGGUACGUAGGGGCGUCCUUGCUUUGCUUGCGUCGACCCCGAAGGCUCGUGGUGUGUGUCCGGCCGCCUUUUCAAUCCCGUCGCGGUGCUCUUAAUUGAGUGUCGAGGCGGGCCGGCACGUUUACUUUGAACAAAUUAGAGUGCUUUAAGCAGGCCCUGUCCCGCCUGUAUAUUGUGUGCAUGGAAUAAUGGAAUAGGACCUCGGUUCUAUUUUGUUGGUUUUCGGAAUCUGAGGUAAUGAUCAAUGGGGACAGGCGGGGGCAUUCGUAUUGCGACGUUAGAGGUGAAAUUCUUGGAUCGUCGCAAGACGGACCGAAGCGAAAGCAUUUGCCAAGUAUGUUCUCGUCGAUCAAGAACGAAAGUUAGAGGUUCGAAGGCGAUCAGAUACCGCCCUAGUUCUAACCAUAAACUAUGCCUGCCAGCGAUCCGCCGAAGUUCCUCCGAUGACUCGGCGGGCAGCUUCCGGGAAACCAGAGCUUUUGGGUUCCGGGGGAAGUAUGGUUGCAAAGCUGAAACUUAAAGGAAUUGACGGAAGGGCACCACCAGGAGUGGAGCCUGCGGCUUAAUUUGACUCAACACGGGAAAACUCACCAGGCCCGGACACCGGAAGGAUUGACAGAUUGAGAGCUCUUUCUUGAUUCGGUGGGUGGUGGUGCAUGGCCGUUCUUAGUUGGUGGAGCGAUUUGUCUGGUUAAUUCCGAUAACGAACGAGACUCUAGCCUACUAACUAGGCGUACCCGGUAUCCACAAUCGUGCUACCGGCGGUUAAAUUUCUUCUUAGAGGGACAGGCGGCUUCUAGCCGCACGAGACUGAGCAAUAACAGGUCUGUGAUGCCCUUAGAUGUCCUGGGCCGCACGCGCGCUACACUGAAGGAAUCAGCGUGUCUUCCCUGUCCGAAAGGACCGGGUAACCCGCUGAACCUCCUUUGUGCUAGGGAUUGGGGAUUGCAAUUGUUCCCCAUGAACGAGGAAUUCCCAGUAAGCGCGAGUCAUAAGCUCGCGUUGAUUACGUCCCUGCCCUUUGUACACACCGCCCGUCGCUACUACCGAUUGAAUGAUUUAGUGAGGUCUUCGGACUGGUGCGCGGAGGCCGCAGCCGCGGCCUCCGAUGUUGCUGGAAAGAUGACCGAACUUGAUCAUUU
rnacentral:rRNA from 1 species